rnacentral:rRNA from 1 species
UACGUAGGUGGCAAGCGUUAUCCGGAUUUAUUGGGCGUAAAGGGAACGCAGGCGGUCUUUUAAGUCUGAUGUGAAAGCCUUCGGCUUAACCGGAGUAGCGCAUUGGAAACUGGGAGACUUGAGUGCAGAAGAGGAGAGUGGAACUCCAUGUGUAGCGGUGAAAUGCGUAGAUAUAUGGAGGAACACCAGUGGCGAAAGCGGCUCUCUGGUCUGUAACUGACGCUGAGGUUCGAAAGCGUGGGUAGCAAACAGG